GUGGGGAAUCUUCCGCAAUGGACGAAAGUCUGACGGAGCAACGCCGCGUGAGUGAAGAAGGUUUUCGGAUCGUAAAGCUCUUUCGUUAGGGACGAACGUGCUCUUUGUGAAUAAUGAGGAGUAAUGACGGUACCUAAAUAAGAAGCCACGGCUAACUACGUGCCAGCAGCCGCGGUAAUACGUAGGUGGCAAGCGUUGUCCGGAAUUAUUGGGCGUAAAGCGCGCGCAGGCGGGAUAUCAAGUCUGUCUUAAAAGUGCGAGGCUCAACCUCGUAAGGGGACAGAAACUGGUAUUCUUGAGUGUCGGAGAGGAAAGUGGAAUUCCAAGUGUAGCGGUGAAAUGCGUAGAGAUUUGGAAGAACACCAGUGGCGAAGGCGACUUUCUGGACGAUGUCUGACGCUGAGGCGCGAAAGCUAGGGGAGCGAACGGGAUUAGAAACCCCUGUAGUCC
rnacentral:rRNA from 1 species